CAGCCCAGGCGGGGGCGGGGGAUAAGCCGCUGGGGGCUUGCGGGGAGGGGUCAGUGUUAAGUGGCUGGCCCCUCGUAGGUGCCUGAAGGCAAGCCUAGUGCACGGAAGUACCCCCUGGGGGGAGGCUGGUGGCCUGGGGAAGGACAAAUGGAAAAUGGAAUUAGGGGCCAGACUCUGAGGCAAGGCGACAGGGAGACAAAGGGGCGAUCUGGUUGUGGAACGAAAUUGGGGCUCGAGCGUGGGAGAGGUGAAGUGACUUGUGGACCACGCGGGAUAGGUGCCGUGUAGUGUGGGUGUGUUGGGGGUACUCGGGGGUCCGGGGAGGUGCAGUGGGAUCAGGAAGAGACUGGGGUGAGCAAGAAGUCGGCAGAAUGGGAAAGGGAAAGAGGGAAAUUUGGGAUCUAGCCAUCCCAGACCAGAGCCACCAUUCUCUUCCAGCUCUGCGCCCCCUCUCUCCAGCCGGAGCGUGCUGCUCCCUCGGCUCAUGGUGCAGCGGAGUUCGCACUAGCCAAUGUUCUGGCAGAUGGAAAGGCUGCCACUGUCCCACCUCUCCCAGGCCUCCCCCAUCUUUGCCGACUUUCCCCUUUUCCACAUUUUGUCGUUCCUGGGUAGUUGAAGUCUAGUUCCUAGGUCAAUGCCAACCAUAGCCGAGGGCACAGGGGAGCAGGUAGCUGUGCAAGCUACUUCCAGGCUGUGGACGCAGGGCUGAGAAAUGGGAAACCUGCCAGUGCCCGUUCCAGCUGUGACCUGGCUGGGGCAGCCUUGGGUCAAGGGCUCUCUGUAGUCCUGGUUUCCACCAACAUCAGGAAGGGGAGCUGCAAGAGUCAUCUAGGCUGGCACCCCAGGACUGUGCCAGCUGAUGUGAGGGUGGACUGGCUCUAAGGAAAAGAUGGUGACAAAGGAAACAGUGAGGGAAUGGACAGCUCAAAACGAGCCUUGCCACUCCUGCUCAGAACAACACCCCUGGCUGUGUCCUGCUGAGGGAAGACCUGGGUUUAAGCCCUGCCUCCGUCAACCUCAAGAUACAGAGCCUCAGGGAAGGGAGGAGCAGCACUGUGAGGACAAGUGCGCCUGAGCCAGUACCUUCACCUUUGAGAGACAAGCUGUACGUGACCCUGUGAACUGAAGAGACUCCAUUUGUCAGGCAGAAAUAGCCACUCACUGCCCACCCCCAACAAUCCUGACUCCCAACACUCAGAUCAAAUCGGAAGAUGCAUCAGCAUCAUCUUCGAAAGCAAGCUCGCGAGGGAUGACCUUCUCUCCUCAGACCCAGCCAUCUGAGGCUGUGAGGACAGCUGGUCCUGCCUCCACCAGACUGUCCUCUCCAGCCAUCAUAAAGUCUGGGAUAACACGAAGAUACCGAGACUAUAGCAAGACCGGCUUCAGGAACUAAGCUGUGCCACCUAAUGGAGCCUCUCUGCUGGGCGCGGCUGACUCUCCCAAGCUAGAUCAGGACCCAUAUAUGGUGGGUGGGGGACCCCCCCCCCCCAGCUAAUCCUCCAGCUCUGACUGAGGCUCCCCACUGUCCAGAUGUCCAGCCAGCCUGGGAGAGAAGCAUCACUGGCCAGGAUCGCUGACAAGGAGGACACACCCGCUCCGUGGGAAAGUCUUGGGUGCCCUGUGCUCAGCCUUCCCCACAGAGGCACAGUGGUCCAGGUGUCCAUCUGUAGCACAGGGGUAACUGCUGUAAGCGCAUUCACACUUUCACGUAGGACAGCAGGUAUAGCCCCAUAGGUAUCACCCAGACCAAGAGAGCUAAUGAGUAUAAUGAGAAGAAUGAGAAUAUACUAAAUUCUAUUUUUGUUUAAAUGUGUAUAUAUUUCUAUAUAUGAAUAUACCAGGAAAAAGUCUUUAAAAAUGCUAACAUGUUAAAAGCCAUUAUCCCUAUGGUAGAAUUUUGCUUCACUUAAAGAAUACUUCUUGUUUUUCUGUACUUUCUCAGUUUCCCCACACAUACUCUGUUGCAUUUUAAAAGUACAGAAUGGUGAGGAAGUGAUGAAGGGAAUCUCUACUCUGAACUUAAGUCUGACCUAAGAGAAGUACACCAUAGUAAAACUGAAAUCAUGAGAAUCACGAAGGGAAAGAACAGAGGCAGACU